AAGCACUCAAGGCUGGAAGGCGGAACUUCCUUUGAGAAUUUUCAUGUCCUUUUUUCAGCCGCUUUACAAGGACAGACCAGGAAAUCAAACAACAACUUACCAGAAUCAUACUAUGUAUAAGGCUUUGACUCCAACCCCUGAAAAUACUUCAAUUCAAUGGCACUUUGGUCUCUGGAAUUAGAUCCUGUUAUCAAUGACUUCCACAUGGAAAGAUCAUUCCAAAAUGUGUAAUUAACCAAGAAAAUGCAAAUAAACCAAUUUGUACCUGCUAUUUAGAGGUAAGAUA